rnacentral:rRNA from 1 species
CCUGGCGGCACUAGCGCGGUGGUCCCACCUGACCCAUGCCGAACUCAGAAGUGAAACGCCGUAGGCCGAUGGUAGUGUGGGGUUCCCCAUGUGAGAGUAGGGAACUGCAGGAU